CCCUGCGUUCCCUGCGCCCUGGGCCCGGCAGCGGCUUCUUCCGGUCUGUAGGCUUCGGAAACCGAAAGGACUGUGCCUAGGACACCGCGCCGAGACCGAUUCACCUUCACCUGUGCAGAGCGCCAGCUGACCCGAGGAGGAAGCCAGGCGAGCAGUGGAACAUGAACGGAAGGGUGGAUUAUUUGGUCACUGAGGAAGAGAUCAAUCUUACGAGAGGACCCUCAGGGCUGGGCUUCAACAUCGUCGGUGGGACAGAUCAACAGCAAGUCUCCAAUGACAGUGGCAUCUACGUCAGCCGCAUCAAAGAGAAUGGGGCUGCCGCCCUGGAUGGGCGGCUCCAGGAGGGUGAUAAGAUCCUCUCGGUAAAUGGUAAAGACCUAAAGAACCUGCUGCACCAGGAUGCGGUAGACCUCUUUCGUAAUGCAGGCUAUGCUGUUUCAUUGAGAGUGCAACACAGGUUACAGGAGCAGAAUGGACCUAUAGGACAUCGAGGUGAAGGGGAGCCAAGUGGUGUUCCCAUAGCUAUGGUGCUGCUGCCAGUGUUUGCCCUCACCAUGGUUGCAGCCUGGGCCUUCAUGAGAUACCGGCAACACCUUUGAAAGUCUUGCUGUCUUCUAGUGCUCCCAGUGAACUUACAUUUCUUUUCUCCUCCUUCCCUGCUGUUGUCCUGUAUCUUUCCCUCUCUGCAUAGCCAACACAUGAUUUAAAGUGACUGAUUCCCACCCAGAACCUUGCUAUUCAGAAGCUCCAAGUCUUCAUAUUCUAAUGGGAGAGUAAAGGUAUUGUUUGAAGGAAAGCUGAAGAAAAGACUUGCUUAGAACAAAUGAGGAGUUAUAUAUUUUACUAGGACUGCUAAUAGAAAUUCAGCUACCACCCAAAGAUGGAAUGGUGUAGUCUUCCUGUCAUCAUGGGUCACACCAUUUUAUUAGCUGCUGUGUCUUGAAGGCCAGCUGUAUGACAUAAGAGGAAGAGAGGAUUUUUCUUUUUUAAUGAUCUUCCUUGGGAAGUACUUGUGGCCUUUAUUUAAUUUUUAAAUACAUUUUUGGUGCCUAUAUUGGACACAGGAGACUAAGAAGAGCUUUUUACUUUUUUAAAAAAGCGAAUACAUAUAUAUAAUACAGAUACAUAUGCAUAUAUGACAGUAUAAUAUUGAUACCUUAUGGAAAAUUAAAGAGGUGAGAAAACUGCUCUGUGGUUUCUAGAUUUCUGUAUAUAAGGGCUACUCUUAAUUGAAGAACUUUUAAACAGCUGUUUGCAGAACAUAUGUAAUGGGAAACAGGAAGAUGAACUUUCAAAGGGCAUGCCUAAUCAAAGUCAUUUAAAAAAUAAUAACUAAAGCAACUAAUUAAAAAUCAGAACAAUAUUUCUUUUCAUACUAGCUAUGAUAAAGUAGAGGUAAAUUUGGUAUAAGACAGCUGAGCUCAGGUCAAUCAGUUCAAAAAACUUUGAGGUAUAAAGAUAAAUCUUACCAAUUUGUGGCUAUACUAAUGGCUUUUUUUGAUACCUCACAGUACUGUUAAAGGAUCAGUGGGGAUGAUUGUGGUCAAAGAUAUGGCAGUGGGACCAAACCGACCCAUCAAGACAACUUCUGAAAGGACAAAAGAUAGUGCCUUCGAGGAGGCAUCUGAACCCUCUCAGGCAAUCUACCAAUCUUUUUGGUUUCUAGUAACAGGAAAAAAACCUGAGAAAAGAACUGCCUCCUGGACAGGAUAGGCAUGAAAUCAGCUCUGUUUCUGAUUUUAGGGAAUAUGAGAAGGCCUGAAUUACUAGCUUUUUGAAAGGCUCCAAACAAUGAGUGUGGCUUUUAAUACAUUAAAAUAAGCCAUUUUUCAGAGACUGGGAGGAAAUGAGUUUUGUUUGUUUUAGGGUUAGGGAUAUUUGAUGGCUGUUUCCUGGGGAAAGCCUGGAAAGAAAAUAUGGAUGAAUGGAUGCUAGGGAAUACGGGGGAUGUUGGUGACGUGGGACCCAUCUUAUUUAAGUGUUGGUUUUAAAGCACUGAGAAUAACUGAACUAAAGCUUAGCCUUAGAAAGUCAUUUCCAUUCUCCAAAUAUACCAGCCAGACUGGAGGCUUUAUAUCAUUGUGACUUAAGAUGAUGAGGAAUUUUCCUCAGGUAAUAAAAUGUAUCCAGUUUUUAGUAUGGACAAAUUAACAGUUAUUUAAUAAAUACUGGUUGGACAUCAGCUUUGUUGAGAUGCUUUUACAAAGAAGUGAAAUAUUAACUUUCAUCCUAAAGGGUUUUUUGGUUCCAGUUGGGAAGAGAAAGCUUUAAAUGGAAUUAGACACAUAAACAGGGGAGUGUAAGUUGGUGUCAAGUUUAUAUUGCAGGAAGCAAAAGAAAAAAGUUAGAAUUGAAGCACUUGAGGAAAGGGCACAAGUUAAGGACUCUUAAAUAAGAGUUCACAGUCUAGUUAAGAAAAUUCAUAAAUAGAUGAAAAGUUUAUUUUCAGAUUAAGUAAUAAUUGAAAAUAGUAAUGAAAAGAAAUAGGACCAUGGAGAACAUGAAGCAGCAAUGAAGAUCUACAGGUGGUCAUCAGUUUUAUUUUCUAGAGAGUUCAGAAAAGGAAAUCUGUCUUUUAAUGGCAUCGGACUAGAAUGGAAAGGGAAGGCCUUUUAAAAUAAAAAGUUCCAGUAAGACCUUGCCUCUGGGUCAAUAAUUGACAUAGGGAGAAACAUGCUUUAAACAAUCCUAACUUAUGCCUUCCAACCUGAACUAUUCAGUACUUUUUGAGACUCAUUGUAGGUUCCAUGGAGAAAAACCAAACAGUAUCCAGUUAUUAUUUUAACCAGUCCACCAUGAAGGCCCAACUUCUAGUGCUUUCCCUAGAUCUGAUGGCAAGGCAUGUGCAACUACUUCUAUAGUGGCCUGUUUAACCUCCCAGGAUUCACCUCAGGGUUUAGACAUUAAUUCAUGAAAGACCUUGGGACAUACAAACUGAAGCAAAUGGAAAGCAGAAAAGAGAUUUGCUUUUUUACUUGUUAGUAUAUGUAAAUAAAAAGCCACCUAUCCCAUCAUCGGUAGUUUUGCUUUGUGGUAAUAGGGAUUCUUAUGCACUUAUAUUACAGGUUUUCUUGGAAAUUAAAUAGCAUUUAAAGACCAAAAUAUUAAAGUUUGAUGCAGGUAUUGCUAUUUAUUAUGUUGUUCUAAUUCUAUGGAAAACAAAUUAUUACCAUGGAUGAGGUAUCAGAAUCCAUUAUAUGUUGUAAAAAAAAUUCAUAUUCUUUAUAGAUUGAACCUAAUAUUCCUAAUACUUAAUACUGUUUUUAAUAUUCCUACCACCUAAAUUAUAAUGAAAGCUUUGAAAAACGGGAUGCAGGUAUUUUUAAUGCCUUGUACUUUAAAAUAUUUCUCAUACUUGUCAUGAUUAUACAUGUAAUUUUCGUUAGAUGGGCUGCUUUUCCUGUGAAACAUUAACUUCUGUGCAAACAUCUUAGUGUAAUCAUUGGUCCAUCUAGCUAUGUAUAAUGGAAAAAGGAAGUUAAUAUUUGUUUUUGCAUUCUGUGCCAGGAACUGUACCAGUGGUGCUCAAAGGGAAGUUUCUGGACAAAAGCAUCACUACUGGGAAAUAUGUUAGAAAAGCAAUUUUUAGGCUUCAUUCUAGACCUACUGAGAGGCUCUGAGUGUGGCAACCAGCAAUCUGUUUUAAUAAUCCCUCCAGGAUACUGAUUGGUACACUAUUUAUGUCUCACAGCUCUGAGAUCUAAGUAUUGCUAUCAAGAGACUACAGAUUAGAGAGUAUUUUCCUAAGAUUAUGGAGGUGGUAAUAACAGGAUUUAAAUUUAGGAUUCAGGUACCAGCAUCAGUUAUAUAUAUGGCAACCAGCAAUCUUAAUAAUCCCUCCAGGAGACCAAUUCAUGCUUAAGUUUGAGAGGUUACCACUCUGUGUUAGUAGUUUUCCUUUUUUCUUGGGUGAGAAUCACCUAGAGAGCUAGUGAAAGUAAUUAUGACCAGGCUAUACUUCAGAGCAACAUACAGGGCUAGGACUCAGGCAGCAAUAAAACAGGUUUAUCAGGCAAUUCCGGUUACAACCUAAGUUGACAAUGUUCUUUGGCAAUUGGAUUUAGACACUGUUUAAACUACUAAAUUACCUACAGGCUUUACUCUUGCCCCAAACCAAUAACUUCCCUUGAGCCAUUUCAGAACCUGAUAUAGAUGUGGAUUAAGUAGAACAUUCUUUCACUCCUGAUGUGUUAAUGAGAAACUAUUCCACCUCCAGCAAAAUGUAUGAUUAGUGUUUCAGUUCAUGCAUCCAUUAAGAACCAAAUGAGGGAUUCCAUCUCUUGGGGCCCCUUUCUACUGUCCUUUAAUAAAGCUUCUACUUUCCACUCUAAAAAAAAAAAAAAAAAAAAAAAAAGAAAGAAGAAGAAGAACCAAAUGAGAGAAUAUUGAAGCUAAAAAGGAACCAGAAGGAUUAUGGAAUGAAUUUGCCUUAGAAAUAAGGAAAUCAGUGUUUAGAGAGGUAAGCUAAUUUAAUUUGGUCAAACUUUUUUUUUAAGUCUGUUGCAGAGGUACCCUAUAAAAUAUGUAAUAUAUGUUGUAGAUGGACACAAUACCUCUAUUUUAUUUUUAUGUGGUGCCAGGGAUCAAACCCAGUGCCUUAUGCAUACAAGGCAAGUGCUCUACCACUGAGCCACAACCUUGCAGAGGACCCCUUUUUCUCUCAUCUUUUCCUUUUGAAUGUGUCCACUGAUUGCAUAUAUAAAAAGUCCUUUUUAAUUUCAGUCCUCAUCCAUCUUCUCUCUUUUGAACUUUGAAUGAAGACCAGAAGAACUGAUAGCUGAAGGGUAUUAACAAGCAUCACUUGCAUCCAAAAGGACAAUCAGGAUCAAAAGGAAGACAUAUUUUAAGGAAUCUGUUCUGGUUGGAACCAGAUUCUUAAUUGCUGUAUUCUCUUGUUUAGUGUUAGUAUUUACAAAGCAUGUGAUCUACUUACCUGCUUCACUUGAUAGCAUAAAAUUAUUAAAUUAUUAAAAAGCAUUAUGGCUGCUAAGGAAUUAAGUUAUAGCAAACAUUAAUGCCUGUUCCUAAAAAAUUUCCUUUUUUUUAAUGUUCUCUAUUUUCCCAGGAAAAAUAGGGAAGGGAAGAGGGCUGAAGUAGAUUUUCAAAUGCAAUGUAAUUAUUAACCAGCAAGGUCAUUUACAAAAUAACUUUGUAAAUUUAUUGACAAAUCACAGGAAAAUAGGUGAUCCUUCUUCCUUGUUUGAAGAUUCUCAAAUGAAGACACAGAACUGAAUCCCAUUUUAAUGCUGUAUCUGCAGUGCUGCUUUGAUUAUGGAGAAACUGAGGUAUACAGUAGUGAUGUUUAAGUUUAUCGAGUGACUGUGCCAGAGAGUAUUCCAAGACAUUAGUCAAGACCCAGAAUAUGUGAGGUACUGGCCUCCACACCAAUUUGAUGGGGAUCAGGAACCAGAUUCAAGUCCCUAAGCCCCUUCAACGUCACGGAACUAAAGCGGUGACUCCCCCGUUUCCGGGCGGUCGCGGGAGUGUGUUACGAUGAAUCGAUUAGUUCUGCCUGGUAGGACCGGAAACCAGAUAGCAAAGGAGAGAUGAUGAGGCUGGAACGCCUUCCUUUGCUCAAAUUUACGAGACUUCACUGGGUCUGAGCGGAGGGGCGUCUCAGCGAACUGGAGAAUUCAAUCAUGGUUGCACCAGCAGUGUUGCGUGCCUUGCGCAAAAACAAGACCCUUAGCUACGGCGUCCCGAUGUUGGGUAGAAGUUUUAAACUUUUAUGUGGGUACAUGUAUUGGACUGAAAAAUUCAUGGCUUCAAUGUCUUGUUGAUACUCCCUUCAAAAUUUUGCUGGUUGUUGGAGGUUCUUUUGGUCUUCGUGAAUUUUCACAAAUCCGAUAUGAUGCUGUGAAGAUUAAAGUAUCAAACCCAGGGCCAUGUGCAUGCUAGGCAAAGUGCUCUACCACUGAGCUACAUCCUCAGCACUAAACAAAAUCAGUUGACAAGACCAAAGGAGAAUGAGUUCAGUUGAGAAAUUGGGAGGAGGAGAAAGAAGACAAUAAUGAGGCCUGGAUGAUGUCUUUAACCCCAUCAGCAGCCAUCUAUCUGGUUUCAACCCUUAGCUCUUAUUCUAUAGCUCUACCAGGUUUGGCAUGUGUGCCCAAGGACAAAAUGGACUUUCAACCUCAAUUCUCAGUUCUUAUGAAAUCCUCCCCAUUGAUCCUGAAUUGGAAAAAAAACUGAAAAUGAAUAAAGUAUCUUUAGAGUCAGAGUAUGAG